UGAAAUUACAUAGAUUCAUCUCCAAUUUCAUUUUGCGCGCUCUCAAUUUCCUUUCCCAGAUUCUCGAUUCGUCCUCCAACAACACCGUUUCACAGCUAAACCAAAACUCUCCCAUUGAGUUUCAACCACCGCUGCACAAUGAAGAAGCGCCACCUCCAACUCCGCUUAUUCUCUCCGAUAAAACGACGAUAACAAUAGUAGCACCUUCAAUAAUAGUUUCAAGCUCCGUAACAGAAGAGACGUUCAUAAAUCUUACUUCUCAAUUUUCAAUUUCAUUUUCAAUUUCACUUUCUUUGAUUCAAUUUGAUUUGAUUCAUCUUCCUUUCAUGCCUCAAUCUCGGCAACGCCGCCACUGCUUCAUCUUCUUCUCCAGUUCUGAUUUGGGAUGAUGCUUAAUUCAAGGUCAGAACAAUGUAAAGGCAUCAACAAAAACUUGUGUUUUGGUAUGGAAUUUUUGCAUUUUAGCUUUAAUGAGCAGAGAUAGGAACAUAUUUCAACAUGGCAUGAAGGUUUCAAGUGACUUUGUUGGCAAGCUUGUUGGCCACAAGUAUGAGGUUACACAAUUCAAGACAAAUGAGAAAUUGAUUUGUACAUGGCAUGGAGAGUCGCUUUUAGCUAUGGAGGAGAAAUAGAUUCUUAGUUAUAGAUAGUAUAUUGUUGUUUUGAGAAUUUGGUUGUAAAUUCUUAAUUUCAAGAACAAUAUUAAAUACUAGUGAUGAUUUUUUUUUUGUAUUUUUGUGAUGAUAUACGUGAUACUUAUGGAUUCGAUUAAAAAAAUGUUUUGUAUAUAAAUUUUUUAUUUUGCUGAAUAUAA